rnacentral:rRNA from 1 species
CCUACGGGAGGCUGCAGUCUAGAAAUUUGGGCAAUGGGCGAAAGCCUGACCCAGCGACGCCGCGUGGGGGAUGAAGCUUCUCGGAGUGUAAACCCCUGUUAGGUGGGACGAAAGCCCGUAUACGAAUAGUAGGCGGGUUUGACGGUACCACCAGAGGAAGCUCCGGCUAACUCCGUGCCAGCAGCCGCGGUAAUACGGGGGGAGCAAGCGUUGUUCGGAGUUAUUGGGCGUAAAGGGCGUACAGGCGGUGGUGUAAGUCAGAUGUGAAAUCCCCCGGCUCAACCGGGGACCUGCAUUUGAUACUGCAUCACUUGAGUACAGGAGAGGAGAGCGGAAUUUUCGGUGUAGCGGUGGAAUGUGUAGAUAUCGAAAAGAACACCAGUGGCGAAGGCGGCUCUCUGGCCUGAUACUGACGCUGACGCGCGAAAGCUAGGGGAGCAAACAGGAUUAGAUACCCUGG